rnacentral:misc_RNA from 1 species
GAAAUGCGAUAAGUAAUGUGAAUUGCAGAAUUCAGUGAAUCAUCGAAUCUUUGAACGCACCUUGCGCUCCUUGGUAUUCCUGAGCAUGCCUGUUUGAGUAUCAUGAAAUCUUCAAAGUAAAUCUUUUGUUAACUCAAUUGGUUUCUACUUUGGUAUUGGAGGUCUUUGCAGCUUCACACCUGCUCCUCUUUGUUCAUUAGCUGGAUCUCAGUGUUAUGCUUGGUUCCACUCGGCGUGAUAAGUUAUCUAUCGCUGAGGACACUGUAAAAGGUGGCCAAGGUAAAUGCAGAUGAACCGCUUCUAAUAGUCCAUUGACUUGGACAAUACUUUUAUGAUCUGAUCUCAAAUCAGGUAGGACUACCCGCUGAACUUAAGC